GUGAAUCAUCGAAUUUUUGAACGCAUAUUGCACUCUCUGGUAUUCCGGAGAGUAUGCCUAUUUGAGGGUCAUUUGAAAUAAUAUAAAUUUUUCGAGAUUUUCUUGGAAUCAAAAAUGGUACGGUCCAGCAUUCGUGAGGUUUUCUCCUAAAAUUCAAGACAAGCUCAUUUCUUGGGUUUCGUGAUACGUUCAGUUACCUCGGGACUUCACAAGGAAUCUUUGAUCGUGUUAGUAAUUGUGCUUGAG
rnacentral:misc_RNA from 1 species